rnacentral:tRNA from 1 species
CACCCGAUGACUGAAAGUAAGUAUAGGUCUUUUAAACCUAUUAUAGUAAUAACGCCUACUUCUGGUGA